ensembl:lncRNA
ACAACUUAAGUGACUACGCCAGGCAAGGAUCAACAGCCCAGAAACAAAAUACAAUGGCUGGAAGCACAAAGGUUAGCUGGCACCAACAAAUACGUGCAGUCCUGGCUCCUAUGAACUGCAGGUUAAAGUCCUAUGUGGACCAGCAGCAGAGAGUGACAUUGGUUUCCAAGGAAGCCUUUAAUCUGAAGAUACUUCAAAAGUUUCAGAAAACCUUGAUCUAAUCUGACAAAUUGCGGCACCUCCAGAGGAUUCGUUCACCUUGAAGCGUUUCUUUUCCCUUUCCUUUGCUUUUUAUCCUCCGUUGUGACGUGAGGAGGUGAUAAAAGUGGCCCCCCACUGCCGAUGUGAAAGGUAUCCAGUUUCUCCAGAGCGGAUGUUCUGACAGCUCACAUAGUCAACUGCUGAUCCAGGGAAUGAGUUCGUGUCCUGCCUCCGCUGCCUGGCCAAGCCUGGGCACAGUGUCAGCAGGCGAGCCCCACGUUCUGCCUUGCAAGCCUGCCCAAAGCCACGGGCUGAUGCAGGGAGCAGUGAUGCGUGCUGUUUUCUUCCCUCUUUGCCUUCUCCACAACUCCUGGAAUGUGUUUGCAUAUGGUGGAAAAAAUGCGAGGAGCAGCGAGAUGCAGUCAGGGACAUUGCCCUGCCUGUCGGCACUAGGCUUGGACUGGGACCAUCGUGACCGUGGAGGUCGGGGCAGCCUCUGCAGCUUGUAGCAGUUGACCAGCUCAGAGAUGAGCUGAAUUUUUGAGGAAAUCCAUUGUGAAAUUAAAAUAGAGGAAAAUCUAUCUUCUGCACAAUCUCGGUGAACACAGGCUUGAAGCAAACCCUGUUUUGAUCAGAAAACUGGCUAGCUAGUAUGAAAUAUUUUACAAACUUUCAAACCCAUCUUCUCCUCCUCAUUUCAUUAAUGGGUAUCUUUUAUCCUGUCCUAAGCAACAGCAAGAAGACUAAUUAGUUUAACAAGUACAACAAAUGGUUUUAUUGACAAAAAAGAACCCUUUGAAAUAUACAUUACAUUCACAAAGGAUUAAAUUACACCCUAUUAUCCAUUUUCCAUAAAAUAAAGAUUACUUU